CUACGGGGCGCAGCAGUGAGGAAUAUUGCACAAUGGGGGGAACCCUGAUGCAGCAACGCCGCGUGGAGGAUGACGCAUUCCGGUGUGUAAACUCCUUUUAUAUGUCAAGAAAAUGACGGUAGCAUAUGAAUAAGCACCGGCUAACUCCGUGCCAGCAGCCGCGGUAAUACGGAGGGUGCAAGCGUUACUCGGAAUCACUGGGCGUAAAGGACGCGUAGGCGGGCUUGUAAGUCAGGUGUGAAAUCCUACAGCUUAACUGUAGAACUGCACUUGAAACUACGAGCCUAGAGUAUGGGAGGGGGAGAUGGAAUUAGUGGUGUAGGGGUAAAAUCCGUAGAUAUCACUAGGAAUACCUAAAGCGAAGGCGAUCUCCUGGAACAUAACUGACGCUAAGGCGUGAAAGCGUGGGGAGCAAACAGGAUUAGAUACCCUUGUAGUC
rnacentral:rRNA from 1 species